rnacentral:snRNA from 1 species
AAACAAUGUCCGUACAGAUUCUC